rnacentral:rRNA from 1 species
UAACAAUGAUACCCUUAGUAGCGGCGAGCGAAGUGGGUAAAGCUCAAGUUUAAAACCUGUUUGUCAUAGACAAACCGGAUUGUAAACUAUGGACAUGUUAUCCAGGCUCUUUGGACCUUCAAGUCCUUUGGAAUAAGGCUUCACAGAGGGUGACAAUCCCGUAGAGGGUCUUGAACAGAGUCUAUUGCGAUGCAUGCUCCAAGAGUCAGGUUGUUUGGGAAUGCAGCCUAAAGUGGGAGGUAAAUCCCUCCUAAAGCUAAAUAUUGGCGAGAAACCGAUAGCAAACAAGUACCGUGAGGGAAAGUUGAAAAGGACUUUGAAAAGAGAGUCAAAAGUACGUGAAAUUGCUUAAAGGGAAGCGUUUGGAGCUAG